AUGCCAUUUAGCAGACGCUUUUAUCCAAAGCGACUUCCAGUCAUGUGUGCAUACAUUCUACGUAUGGGUGGUCCCGGGAAUCGAACCCACUACCCUGGCGUUACAAGCGCCAUGCUCUACCAACUGAGCUACAGAAGGACUACACCCCAUGGCCCAGGACACCAUUGACAGCAACUUGGCCACAGCUGCUGAGAACGGUGUUUCCCUGCCUGUGUGGUCAGAUUCGGAAAGUGAUCAGUCAGGACAUUGAGGCUUUAGUAGAGCUGUACAGCUCUCCAGAGAUCCAGGGACUGAUCAGGGAGAACAAGACCCGAACCAAGAGGAUCUUUGAGAUCCUAGCUAGCAGGCUGAAGGAGCAAGGCUUCCCCAUCAGUGAUGUGCCUGAGCAGGCGGGGGUGAUGCUUCCAGAAGUGGCAGAACCUGUCGAGGGUGUACAAGGAGUACGUCCUCCACCCAGAGAAUGCUGACAUGGCCAAGAGGAAGAUUCCAGCCUACUUCAACAGGCUCUAGGACCUCAUAGGCCACCGGUUCAGCCUUCAACUAGUUGAAGACUCCCCUGAGCCUGAUGGCAGCAUGGGAGAUGCUGAGGCAGAUGCAGGGGUUGAGGACAUAAGCCAGAGUCUGUUACACAUUGUGGAGGUGCCGGCGAGCCCCAUUGACAUUGUCAGUCCCCCUUCCACUUCUGCCACCUUCUCCUUUUCACAUAGAGAAAAUCACCUCCGUGUUAGAACCAGUGGGUGGAAGAUAAGGAGGAUGGCAGAUAUAUUGGAUGUCUUUCAGGGUUAUAGGGAGGAGGACAAACGAUUGCAAGAGGAGAGGGAAAGGAGGGCAGAGGAGCGCUUUAAUCAGCUGCGAAGCCUUCUGCAGCAACAGCACACCGAGACUAUGGCGGUGAUGAGAGAACUGAUCAAUUCCAUGAAGACGAAAAAACUAUGAUAUAUAUAUAUAAAUAUUAUAUAAGUUUGGACACACCUACACACCUACUCAUUCAAGGUAUUUUAUUUAUUUUUUUUACUAUUUUCUACAUUGUAGAAUAAUAGUGAAGACAUAAGAACUAUGAAAUAACACAUAUGGAAUCAUGUAGUAACCAAAAAAGUGUUAAACAAAUCAAAAUAUAUUUUAUAUUUGAGAUGCUUCAAACAGCCACCCUUUGCCUUGAUGACAGCUUUGCACACUCUUGGCAUUCUUUCAACCAGCUUCACCUGGAAUGCUUUUCCAACGUUCUUGAAGGAGUUCCCACAUAUGCUCAGCACUUGUUGGUUGCUUUUCCUUCACUCUAUGGUCCGACUCACCCCAAACCAUCUCAAUUGGGUUGAGGUUGGGGGAUUGUGGAGGCCAGGUCAUCUGAUGCAGCACUUAUCACUUUCCUUCUCGGUGAAAUAGCCCUUACACCGCCUAGAGGUGUGUUGGGUCAUUGUCCAGUUGAAAAACAAAUGAUAGUCCCACUAAACCCAAACCAGAUGGGAUGCCGUGUGGCUGCAGAAUGCUGUGGUAGCCAUGCUGGUUAAGUGUGCCUUGAAUUCUAAAUAAAUCACAGACAGUGUCACCUGCAAUCCACCCCCUUACCACAACAUCUCCUCCUCCAUGCUUUAUGGUGGGAAAUACACAUGCAGAGAUCAUCCAUUCACCCACACCGCCUCUCACAAAGACAUGGCGGUUGGAACCAAAAAUCUUGAAUUUUGACUCCAAACCUAAGGACAAAUGUCCACUGGUGUAAUGUCAAUUGCUCGUGUUUCUUGACCCAAACAAGUCUCUUCUUACUAUUUAUGUCUUUUAGUAGUGGUUUCUUUGCAGCAAUUCGACCAUGAAGGUCUGACUCAGUCUCCCCUGAUCAGUUGAUGUUGAGAUGUGUCUGUUACUUGAACUCUGUGAAGAAUUUAUUUGGCUUGCAAUUUCUGAGGCUGGUAACUCUAAUGAACUUAUCCUCUGCAGUAGAGGUGACUCUUGGUCUUCCAUUCCUGUGACGGUCCUCAUGAGAGCCAGUUUCAUCAUAGUGCUUAGGAUAAAGUAAUACUUCUCACCCCCCCUCCCCCCCUUAAAAGAUUUAGAUGCACUAUUGUAAAGUGGCUGUUCCACUGGAUGUCAUAAGGUGAAUGCACCAAUUUGUAAGUCGCUCUGGAUAAGAGCGUCUGCUAAAUGACUUAAAUGUAAAUGUAGUGCUUGAUGGUUUUUGCGACUGCACUUGAAACUCUCAAAGUUCUUGAAAUGUUCUGUUUUGACUGACCUUCAUGUCUUAAAGUAAUGAUAGACUGUCAUUUCUCUUUGCUUAUUUGAGCUGUUCAUAAUAUGGACUUUUACCAAAUAGGUCUAUCUUCUGUAUACCCACACUACCUUGUCACAACACAACUGAUUGGCUCAAACGCAUUACGAAGGAAAGAAAUUACACAAAUGAACUUUUAACAAGGCACACCGUUUAAUUGAAAUGUAUUCCAGGUGACUACUUCAUGAAGCUAGUUGAAAGAGUGUGCAAAGCUGUCAUCAAGGCAAAGGGUGACUAUUUGAAGAAUCUCAAAUAUAAAAUAUUUUCUGAUUUGUUUAACACUUUUUUGGCUACUACAUGAUUCCAUAUGUAUUAUUUCCUGUAAAUAAAUGCUCUAAAUGUCAAUAUUUUUAUUUGGAAUUCGGGAGAAAUGUUGUCAGUAGUUUAUAGAAUAAAACAAACAUGUUCACUUUACCCAAAACACAUACCUAUAAAUAGUAAAAACAGAGAAACUGA